AAUUGUUCACAAUGGGCGCAAGCCUGAUGACGCAAUGCCGCGUGGAGGAUGAAGGUCUUCGGAUUGUAAACUCCUGUUGCCAGGGACGAAUGGCUCCGACCUAAUACGUCGGAGAAUGACGGUACCUGGUGAGGAAGCCCCGGCUAACUCUGUGCCAGCAGCCGCGGUAAUACGUAGGGUCCGAGCGUUGUCCGGAUUCAUUGGGCGUAAAGAGCUCGUAGGCGGCUCAGUAAGUCGGAUGUGAAAACUCAGGGCUCAACCCGGAGACGCCAUCCGAUACUGCUGUGGCUGGAGUCUGGUAGGGGAACACGGAAUACCUGGUGUAGCGGUGAAAUGCGCAGAUAUCAGGUGGAACACCGAUGGCGAAGGCAGUGUUCUGGGCCAGUACUGACGCUGAGGAGCGAAAGCGUGGGGAGCAAAC
rnacentral:rRNA from 1 species